AAGGAACAAGGGAUGGCCUUCUUCAUCCUGUCUGCUUACGAAUUCAGAAGGGCUCGUUUGCUUAUAUAUGCAGUACGAAACGAAUUGUUCUCCAAGUAAAACGAGAAAGUAAAUCCAACCCUCAGCUUGUACACAAAUCAUAGACAAUAUUAGGCCCAAAUUUUAGAAUAAAUAAGUAAAAUAUGAGGCCCAAAUUUUGUACACAAAUCAUGUCGAGUGAGGGGACCUUUGGUGCAUGCUUUUGUUUUGGUACAAUAUUUAUAUGUUGCCAAAACGAAAAUUUUGUUCUGGUUGAUAAGAAUAUGGGAACCCAAACAUGGCUGGAGAGAAUACGAACCCCCAUACCUUUACUGAAGCAGCCUAAUAAUUCUGGUUUUGGUUUUGGAGUUUUGCAAAGAGACUCUUCUGCCCAAAAAAUUGAAUAAGGACAAUGAGACUCUUUGGUUCGGUCCCUAGAAUUGGCUCAACAACAUAAUAGAAGGGCCGCUGAGAUUUGAGAUAGCUCUUCAUCUAGUCCAUGAACGACAAGUGAGGGAUUCUUAGGACCCCAUCCGGCCAUAUUGAAGGUGCCCAAAUAUUUCGAAAGUUUUUUUUUUUUUUUUUUGGGUCUGAACAAAUAGUUUGAAAGUUAGCGAUGCAUAGGAGAAGUUAUUCGGUGACACACUAAGAGUACUUUUCCACUCAUUUGUCAUGAUAAAAGGGUAAGGCCAAAUAAGGGUGGUUAUUGUUCAUGUAAGCAGUAUUUGUCCUAACAAUAUUUUUUUGCCUUUCCACUUAUUGCCGUAGCAAUUACUAUUCACAUGUGAUUUUUUUUUUUUUCUAUAUGUAUGAGAUUAACAAAUAAAUAAAUUACUAGGUAUGUAUAAAAAAAAAAUUGGUAAUUUUUCUUAUUUUUUUUUCUUUGUUGACUUCAACGCCCUUAGGCAACAUCUCGGGUUGUUCUUGUCUUUAGGGCCUGCCCAAUCUUGGUGGAGCCCACCAUCUGCCCGAGCUGGAUUUGAUUGUGGAAAGUGUUUUUGGAGCACGAGGGCCUUUUGCCUUGGCAAUUUCAACCGGUGGAAAUGGUCUAACAGUCAUUCUGUUGCGUGGUAUUACAGCCCCUUAUGUUAUAACACGUGUUUUAUUUAUUAAUUUUUUUCAAAAUAAUAAAUCUAACAUGAAUUGAUAAUACUAUAUAACCAUGUAACAAUCGUAUACAACAACUUUUCGAUGCAUUCAAUUUGAUAUUGAGAAGGUGGUCUAGAUCACCUAUUAAAAAAACAAAAAAGUUGGUUUAAAAACUAAAACAUAUUUAAUCAAUGUCAUCAUCUCAAGGAAGAUAUGCAGCUAGAGGCGAAGGCAAAUUGAAAUAUUACAGCCUGAUUAGGCGGGGAUUAGUAGUUUAAGGUUUGAAAGCAACUAGUUGAUCAUAUUCAUAUAUAUAAGAGAGAAAAAAGCAACACAAUGUUUCACUUUAGUUCCUUCUUCAUAUGGGAUGUCCCUGUCUGUCGGUGCUUUAGCUUCCCCUUCACUUCUUUUGCUUAUUUUUCUUCUCCUUUCUUUUUCAUUUCAAUUUAUCUGCAUCGAUCCAUUGGCUUUUGAGUGUACGUCCUCAGGUAUUGGUUGUCACUUAAUGCAUCACACGUGUUUAAAUUUAAAUUCUGGCUCCUCCUCCUGAAUCCCAACCAAAAGAAGAUGAUUCAUGGAUCAUUUUGCAAUGCGUAUGUUCUUUUGUUAGCCCAGAAAUAUUGCUAUAAGUUGGGUAACUAUAAAAGUUUAAGCGACGUUAACGAGAAAUGUUAAGAACAGUCGUGUAUAUGGACAUGCGAUUGAAAAUCACCUGCUCAUUCACUUUUCCAAGCGUAAGCAUCCUUCAAUUAAUAAUUUUAUCAAGUCGAAAAAGAUAGUGCACUAUGAUGUCUUGUACUAACCUAGCCUCACAUCUAUAUAAUAAUUCAAGGGGGCAAUGAUCAGUGCACUACAUGACUACCAAGUCUAUAACACUUGCUGCUCCUCGGCAACUUUCUGCCUGUGUAAUUGUGCAAAAGAUUCUCUUAACCCUUGUGUCAUAUUGCACAUGGCUUGGUUAAAUUCAAUUGUUUUGUCCACCCGUACAAAGUGGUAAGUUUUAUUUCACAUUCAGUCAUUUUAUUAUUUUUUGGGUUAAAGUAUUAAUCAAAAUGCAGAGAAAAUAAUAUUACCGGAAUAUUUAAUUGUAAAUGAACACUAAAGUGAAGGCAACUUCACCUAUACGAAGAAAAAGAAUGGCAAAAUGGUCAAAAAGAGGCCAUAGUCGUGAUCAUAAAGUUAAAAAGUAGUUCCAUUUCGAUUCUUCUUUUUACGAAGAAAAUUGCCAUCCACUGUGAAAAAAAGCAUAUACCCACAGCUAACUUCUGCAAGUGCUUCUCCAAAUAAUUUUCAUGGGUGCUUACUUAUAUCUGCACCUUAUCUGACUCUGACUGGACGCGUUAUUGUUAAUAUUGAUGUGGCUUUUGAUAGAGAAAUUAAUAGAUGAUACAAUUCCUAAAUGACAUACAUAUUUCUUACUAAUCAAAAGCAACGCAUUUUGUGCAGCAAUUUAUGCCAUCAUAUAUUGUUUCAUCAAAGGUAAAAGCUUCCUCUGGUCUGCUAUAAGCCUACAACCCUACAAACCCUAGCUAAUCCUCAAACAUUUUAAUAAAUUUGUGCAAAGGCUUAAACCCAAUUUUUGCCGGACCAUUACAGGAAAAGACUACGAAUGCCUUUUAUUUCUUCUUCUUGUCGGGAUUAAAAAAAAAACCAUUAAAAUGUUCUAUUUUACUUUUGGAUUCAUUUAGGUGCCAAAUGGAGAACUUUGAGCCUACCACCCUUGGCCAAAAAUAAACGGUGCACAAAUAUAUAUACCAAUCGGAAAAGUCUCCGCAUUGGCCGCCAUUAAUCAUCAUAUUCCCUCUUGGCAAGUUUGGCUUAAUCAGCUGCAUUCUUCUGCAGAAAGAACUGCUGGUUGGGAUUCCUUAGUUGUUAGUUGUCAUUGUGGCUUUGUGUUGUAAUUUUCCUUUCUUUAUCCAAAAAGAAGAAGAAAAAUUUAAAGAGUCUCUAUUAACUAAAUAAAAGAGUUGUAUGAUACAUAUUUAAAAAAUAUUCAACCCGCUAACAUAUCUGAUGAAUGAUUAAGAUUAAAAUUCAUUAACUACGUAGCAAAAAUCAUUAUUAAAAAACUCACCAUGUUCAUCAUGCGUCACCAAUAUAACAAAUGUUCUUAUCACACCUUUUUCAAUUUCAUAGAUUUUAAAUUGACGAUAAAAGAAGAUAGGUGAAAUGUUGCUUGUACUCUAAUGUUGUACAUGAAAGCGUGGUCCGUCGGAGCGUUAGCCGGGAAUAUUUUCCAGCCCAUAUAAGGAAGGACCACAUCACUGGUCAUGGGACACCUGAGAAAAAAAAUCAAUUUCAUUUUAUUUUUCCAAUUUCCCCUCAAUUUUAGAUAUUUUAUUAUUGGUAAUUGCAUAACACUUUUAUUAGUUUCCUGUAUACUGUUCGAAAGUCCAGUCCAGUGUUGUCUGUCGGGCAUGGAUAUGGAGGGAAAUUUUACGGCGGGCCCCACCUCAAUGAAGUGCCCAUAGUGUGCUUGACAGAAGCAUCUCUCAGAUUGGGUGUCCCAUCCCCACGCUCCUCAACUGCCAGCCUUGGCGCGUUUUAGCAACGGACUUCCAUCAGCCCCGCCGCUGGAUCCAAACGACGAGUCGUCCUUACAAAUUUCAAACGACGCGCGGAGAAGGUUGCGUUGGUACGACUAGUCGUCCUCGUUUCUCGUACCCCUGUAAAGUUAACCACUGUCACAGAGAGAGACAGUGAGAGAGUCCCAGAAAACUGUUGGAAGAGAAUACAAGGGCCCGAAACGACGUCGUCGACGUCGUCCCCAUGGGCUGCUGAUUCUUCUCAGUCUUUCCCAACAAGUAACAAGGAAGUCACAAAUCCCCGCAAAUAAAAGCAGAGAGAUAAAAAGAGAAAGUGAAAGAAAGCGAGGAAAAAAGGAAAGAGAAGGGCUUUUUGGGGAAGAAGGUGUUAUUUCUCGCAUUUAUCAAAGAGAGGUUUUUGUGUCUCUCUGUCUCUUUCGACAUUUUCAGGUUUAAUGAAAUUGCCAAGAGACUCAGUUUCUCAGUGCUCUAAAUCUUAAUCUUAAUCUUAAUUAGUUUAGUGUUAAUUAAGUGGGUGUGGCGCUAAGCUUAACCAAAAGGGCUCAAAGCCUCAUGAAAAUGUUUUCUUGCCUCUUUCUUUCUUAGGGUUCCUUCCUUCUUACUCCCUCUGUCUUUCUCUCUCUUCUUUUUGUUUCGGGUGGGCCGUACUGCUACUUCUAGGGUUUUGAAGCUGAAACAAAAAUAGUAAAAAAGGAAAAAUAAAAAAAAGAGAUUGGAGGCUCUGUAGCUUUGAGAGUGGGGGGUUGAAAUCCAUGCAGCUGGAGCUGAAUCAGCUGAUGAUAUAGAUGCUGGGGUUUGUUUGGAUGUGAUUUCUACUGGGUUUCCUUAAUCGUGGGUUUUGGUAGAUUGGAGCGAAAUCUAAAAUGUGCAAGAUCUUGAUGAAUGAGGUUAAGUGCUUAGAAUCAGCGAAGAUGGAGCAUUGUCUUAGUGCUAAUUGAUAUUUCUUGGCAAGUUGGAAGAGAAAUCGCGCUCUUAAACAUGCAUUUCACAAAGCUCGAUGACUCUCCUAUGUUCCGCAAGCAGGUUUUCUCUCUCUCUAUCUCUCUCUGCCGUUAGGCUGCUUAUAUCUCUCCUUGUUUGCGUGGUUUGGUUGUCGCAUUUUGUUCCUCAUUCCAAUGACAUGUUUGGCUGCUGAGAAAUUUCGGAAGAGAAACUAAAGUUUGGAAUUUGAAUCUCAUGGCUGGCUUGGGGGCUGUGAUUUCUCUGCAACAAAAUGGAGCAUGUGCUGCCGAUAGUUGUACAUUUUAGAGAAGUGAAUUGCAUUGGCACAAUCGCCAUCUGCCACAUCCCUUAAAUUGCUGAAUUAUUUAGCAUUUGCCAGUUGUGUAAUUUGAAAUGAAUUGAUGCGAGUUAUGCAAGUUCAAGUUGAAAAGGUUUUAGUUUGCUCCUGUUGUUUCUGAGUUGCAAGACAGCCCAACCUAAUUUAUUUUUUCAAUAAUAUGUCUCGGUUUAACUUCCACCGAUUUCACGUUCUGUAGAAGAACAGAGAGUUAGUUAGCUGUAUUUGUAUUCUCUGCAGAGGGCUGAAAAUAUGAAGCUUUGCAAAGAUGUCUCUGUUAUAGUUCCCAGACUUCUUAAAUCUGCUUAUACCCUGCUCGGGGUUUAUAUUACUCAGGCUCUGAAAAUGUCGAGUGUAGCGAAUGUUAAAUAGCACCCCCCUUCCCCUUCUUGUCGUAUUUACUUUGUGAUGCAUGUGAAUAAUGUUGCUAUCUCCAUUCCUGUCACUGCAUUCUGUUAUAUCCAUUAUACGUGGGUUCAUGACAUUAUUACUAGUUAUGGACUUUGCUGCGGUAUGUAGUCAUUGAUAAUUCUUUUGGUGGAGCAGAUACUGUGCAUGGAGGAAAAUGCUGAAUCAUUGAGGGAGAGAAGUUUAAGGUUUUACAAAGGAUGCCGAAAAUACACGUAUGUCUACAAAUAACUGUUCGAUGGAAUUUUUUGACUUUGCCAAUUGUUGUGUAUUCAAUUACAUUGCUGAUGAUAUAAAAUGUAAAUUUCAUUUGGUACCAUGAAAGACUUGACCACUUAGUAUCUUAUGCUUUUUGCACUUCCUAUAACUCUCAAAUAUGCAGAGCAUAUGAAAAUUUGAUAAUUUAACAUACAUGUUGUCAGGUGGUUUUGGAUCUUCCUUAUCUUGUUUUUGCUGGAUGGAAUCAACCUUUGCUAAACAUGUUUUGUUUGUCAGGGAAUUACUUAAAAGUGUUUUUUUCUUUUUGUUUUUGCUUGCAGUGAAGGACUUGGGGAAGCAUAUGAUGGGGACAUUGCUUUUGCUAGUGCCCUAGAAACUUUUGGCGGGGGGCAUAAUGAUCCAAUUAGUGUGGCUUUUGGAGGUAUGCCAAUUUGUCAUCAUAAAGAGUAUCAAACAUUGGUGAUUUUCUUUUCUAGUUGCUUCAUCGGUGGGUGCAUUGGGGUCACCCAAGUGCACCCAAUUCUUUUCCAUUCUGACCACAUUUGAACUAUAAUAUCAUUUGUUAUCAGGAUUAUGUGUGUUAGCCAAAAGAAAAUUAAACAAAAAGGAAACAAAUUCAUAGAUAGUGCAUGUUGUUGAAACAACUAUUAGAAGCAGGUAUAAGCUGCUUUUGGCAUUUAUUAAUUGGCUCCUGUCUUCUUCUCUAGGCCCUGUUAUGACCAAAUUUACGAUAGCACUGAGAGAAAUUGGGACAUACAAGGAAGUUCUUCGAUCUCAGGUGAUAACUUUGUUUUAUCUGUUGCUGCAAGCUAAAGGCUUCCUUCUGUUUUUGCAAUCACAAUAUUUUGGCUGCAGUUCCCAGAAUAUCAAUUCAAUAUGCAGUUUGAGAGAUGUUCGUUAUCAGUUGAAAUGGUUUCUUCUUAAUUUAGGCUUGUGAAUAAUUCCAUUUUGAAGCUUGAUAUCAUUUCCAUGUUUUGAAGUUUUUGCUUUACAAUGAGGCUUUACUUGAGCAAAAGUAACUCUAACUGCAUACAUUUUAUGGCUGACAGAACACAUUGUGGCGUAUGCAGUCACAGGAAGUUUAAUAUGCUUUAAAUUCCCUAGUCAAAUGGCUUUCCAUGAUCCUUUUUUUGUAGCUCUCUGUGUUCGUUGCCUGUUGGAUUAGUAGUUUAUUUUAUGUCAUGCAUAAUGUCAAGCUAUAGUAUUAACCUGUUUUUCCUCUCCCUUACAGGUUGAGCAUAUGCUAAAUGACAGACUGUUACAAUUUGUGAAUAUUGAUUUGCAUGAGGUCAAGGUAUUGUGAAAGAUUCCUGCAUCAGGCGAUUUGGGUUUAUCUUUGUUUUUGUCAGUAUCAUUUGUGUCUUGUAGUUAGUGUUGAAUGGAGUAUUGUCUUUGUGCAGGAGGCGCGGAAACGUUUUGACAAGGCUAGCCUUAUUUAUGACCAGGUGUGUGCUGCAGAUCCUAAAUUAAUUUGCUUCUUUUGUUGAAGGAACUUCAAUGCAUUUAGUGACUAUUUUCUCAUGUGUUGAAUUUAGAAAAUAGAAUGAUCUGUUCCAGUAAAAUAUUGCUAGCAUUUAAAAAUAAAUAAAUGCAGGAUCUCCUGCAACUGUAGAAAGAUUUUUAUUUUAUUUUUCAUGUUCUAACCAAGUCUGAGGUAUCUUGAAAGAUAGUUCUGCAGGUUAGUUGAAAUCUAGUAGAACCACACCAGAUUCAUUUGUAUUUUUUGGGAACUUGUUUGGGAGAGAUUUAUUGGUGUGAUUUCUUCCCGUAUCUUUGAUUUGUUAGAGCUCGCCUUUUUCUAUUCUUUUUUUUGCAGCUGUAUAUAACAACCUUGUUUUUCAUAAUUUAAUAUGGGAUUUGAAUCAUUGAUAGAUCUUGCAGCUAUUUUGGGAUUAAUAAGACUCUUUGAAAUUAAUUGAGUAUGUCAUACGUAGUUUGAUACUUAUGUUACCGCAGGCUCGCGAGAAAUUUCUCUCAUUGAGAAAAGGCACAAAGAAUGAUGUAGCUUCCAUGCUAGAGGAGGUACUAUGCAGUGCAAACUCUAAUUAUAUUUGUUAAUAUAUGUUCUUAUCUAUGGCAUUGAAAAUUAUCCAUUCUUUACAUUCUAAUACAGCUUAGAGAUAUUGCAGGAACUUCAUAAUGCAAGGUCUACAUUUGAGCAAGCUCGUUUUAGUCUGGUAAGUUUCUUGAAGCUGUCCUUUUCGAAAUCAAUGAUUUCAUGUAAUUGAAACAUUGGCAUUAUGAUUUGGACCUUUUUAUUUGCAGGUGACUGCUCUUUCUAAUGUUGAAGCAAAAAAGAGGUUUGAAUUUCUGGAAGCGGUCAGUGGAACAAUGGAUGCACAUCUUCGUUACUUCAAACAGGUGAAUUGGAAGCCAGGUUUUCUGUCCUUUUCACAUGCUUUAUCACUAGUUUGUUGACCUUCAACCUUUUUCAUGUGUAGGGUUAUGAGUUGUUGCAUCAAAUGGAGCCAUAUAUUAAUCAGGUUUGUUAUAAAUGUGUAUGUUAGUGUAAUAUUUAAGCCAAAUCUAAAUCAGGUUUGAGAUUCUUAUAUUCCUAACUUUUCUAUUCUGUUUGUAAUGAGAAUAAUUGAAAAUUUGACCUCUUACUAUUUCAUAGGUCUUGACUUAUGCUCAACAAUCAAGAGAAAGAUCCAACUAUGAACAGGCAGCUCUUAACGAAAGGAUGCAAGAAUACAAAAGACAGGUUGAUCGAGAGAGCAGGUGGUCUUCCAAUGGUUCUAAUGGAUCUCCUAAUGGAGACGGGAUACAAGCCAUUGGUAGAAGUUCACAUAAAAUGAUAGAGGCCGUUAUGCAGUCUGCUGCAAAGGGAAAGGUUUGAAGAAGCUUCAUUUUUUUUUUUCCCAGUUAUUGCCUUUAAUUUAUUUACGUGAUCUAUGUUCCACUUCUUUAUGCAUUUUGAUAUUGAAGUUGCUUUUGUUUCAUGUCUACAUUUAAUACUACAGACAAAAUUUAACAGUAAUCAAUAAUCAGGUUCAAACCAUUAGGCAAGGUUAUCUCUCAAAACGUUCCUCGAACUUGAGGGGUGACUGGAAAAGAAGGUUUUUUGUUCUUGAUAGCCGAGGAAUGCUGUAUUACUAUCGAAAACAAUGCAGUAAACCAUCUGUAAGUAAUUUUUUCAAGAAAGAAGUUAGGAUGCAGAAGGCUUGAAGUUUGUCCCGGGCUUGACGUUAAUAUCAAUGUUUUGUUAUUGUGUUUGUCUAUAACUUGUAGGGGUCUGGUAGCCAAGUUUCUGGUCAGAGGAAUAGUUCUGAGCUUGGUUCUGGACUUCUGAGUCGGUGGCUUUCUUCUCAUUAUCAUGGUGGAGUGCACGAUGAGAAAUCUGUUGCUCAUCACACAGUGAAUCUGCUUACAUCAACUAUCAAAGUUGAUGCUGACCAGUCAGAUCUGAGGUUUUGUUUCAGGAUCAUUUCACCGACAAAGAACUAUACUUUGCAGGUUCGAUUCAGUGUAGCUGUCCCUUGUGAUCUUGGAUUUAAUUUUAUGUAUUUAUGUAGUUCCUGAACGGUUUCUCAACCAAUUUUAGCUGGUGAUUCUGCUAAUAUGGCAAAUAUGUGAUGGUUAUUUGUAUAUAGGGGUUCCUGCAAUGAUAUUUAUUUAUGCUUGUCAGUGCAGGCAGAGAGUGCACUUGAUCAAAUGGAUUGGAUUGAGAAGAUAACAGGGGUUAUUGCUUCAUUACUUAGCUCUCAGGCUCCUGAGAGGGUAAUUAUUGUGAAGUUUUGCAUGAUUAUGAUGCCAUUGAUUUUCAUAGUUGCUUUGAUGAUUUUUGUCCAAUUCUUUUUCAGUUUCUGCCUGCUAGUCCCAUGGGAAGCCAUCGUCGUUCAGCAAGUGAGAGUAGUUCAUUUGAGAGUUCUGAUUUUGAUCACACUGGAGUCGAAGAACUUGCAUCUGAGAGGAGUCUUCCUACUGCAAAUUCUGACCGCCCAUUGAGAAGCUCACAACAGCAACGAUCUUCUUUAAAAAGUGAAAAGACAAUCGACAUGCUACGACGAGUAUGUGGGAAUGAUAAGUGUGCUGAUUGUAGUGCCCCAGAGCCAGAUUGGGCAUCAUUAAAUCUUGGUGUUCUCGUUUGCAUAGAAUGUUCUGGUGUUCAUCGUAAUCUUGGUGUACAUAUCUCAAAGGUAAUCAUUCUGCUUUCUUAGUCUUUUUACAUGUUAUAUCUGUGAGCCAUGCACUCUUAAAUAAGUGUUGUGUAGGCAUGCCUAUCAAAUGACUAUUAUGUUAUCCUGUUCUUUCUUCCUCUACUUUUUUAUGCGUACAAUCUCAAAUAUUUAUAGAGUAGGAAUCUAAAGAACCUUCCUCGUAUGAUUUUUACUAAUAUGGUUUUUUUUAACUGACCAAUAAUGUGGUUUACUUUUCUAAAGGCAAUAAGAAUUGUUAACAUGGAAUGUGUAAACUGUCCAGUAAUAUUUUUAAAUCUUUUUUCUGAGAUUUUCUCGCCUCUGACCAUGAAUUUGGUGUACAAUUACAGGAGAAUUCAAUAAUUGUUCACAUCAUGAUAAAGUGGAAACUAUUAUUUACUGGAAAUUACUAAAUUUUGUUUUGAUUUGUAUGUUAUAUGGACUGUAAUAUCUUCAUAGGAACUUUUUUGUUUAUAACUGGGUAAAGUGUCCAUGGUAAUGAUGUAUGUACUGGUCCUAUAAAAAAAUGAUAUAUGUAUCAGUUGCUCAUUUCUGCAACUCUUUUUCUUGGUGGCUUUUACUGCAGGUAAGGUCUCUUACACUGGAUGUCAAAGCAUGGGAGCCUUCUGUUAUAAAUUUGUUUCAGUCUUUGGGUAAUGCCUUUGCCAACUCUGUCUGGGAGGAACUUUUGCAAUCAAGAAAUGCGUUUCAGGUUGAUCUUAUAUCCACAGGGUAGGGAUUCUUUGUUACAACUCUUUCGAGUAUCGUAUAUGUUUCAUCUUUACUUGACUGUUGUGAGCAUUCACUGCUAUUCUUCUGGUGAAGGUCAUACAAGUCUGAUAAAAAACAGCUAGUUUUUAUCAGCAAACCCAGUCAGAGUGAUUCUAUACCAGUUAAGGAGAAAUUCAUUCAUGCAAAGGUAUGCCCCUCGCUGUUGCUAAUUGGAUGACUUGAAAACAGAAGGAAUUGCUCUCCUUUUUUAAAUUUAAAUUAUGAUGGAUAAUGUGUGAAUAUGAUCUAGAUAAGUUGAUACAUCAAGACAUUAGAAUUUUUUUGGUCUAAUGGCUAAGAUUGCUAGUAUUACAUACUAAGUUGAUAGGGAAGCAAUUCCUUUUCUAGAAAAAAAUAAAAAUAAAAAUAAAUAAAUUGAUAGGGAAGCAAUAGUUUUAGAACAUCAGCCCAAUCUAAAGAACACGUAUUUUCUAAUAUUAAAGACAGAAAUUUUGAUUAGCUCUAAGAUGUGGAGAGUAGUUUGAGAUUGUGAACCCUUAUCAGCUUAUUGGAAUACUUGUUAUCCUCUCGUUUAUCGCUUUUAGGUGAUCAUGGUUUAGGCAUCUUGCAAGAAGGGCUGUACGUAGUGUAUAAAGGCAUAACCUCAUUGUUCCUUCAUAAUGUGGAUGAGGCUAGCUUGAAUUCAUUGUAGUUUUCACAAUAGCAAUGAUUUGGGAACCAAUUUUUAUUAACUUUAUGAUUAUGAGUGUUCUCGAAGAUCUCCUAUGCUACCUGCUACUACUAGUUGAUGUUAUUCAGACUAUGGAAAUGUGGAACUAAAUGUUUAUUUUAUUUCGAUCAUAGUAUGCAGAAAAGCUUUUUGUUCGGAAGCCAAAAGAUGCACAAUAUACUCAUUUGAUAGCACAACAGAUUUGGGAGGGUGUUCGUGCUAAUGACAAGAAAGCUGUAUAUCGUCACAUCGUUAAUUCUGAACCAGAUUUGAAUGCGGUGUAUGAGCAAGCAUCAUGUGCCUCUUCAUUAACCCUUGCGAAAGUAAUGCUGAUGCAUGAGCAGACUGGCCAUGACCAAACCUCUAGCUGCUUAGCUGGGGAUUCAUUGGACAGGUCGUCUCCUAGCUCUUCAAACUUGAGUGGUACAAGUGAAGGCCAUGCUGUGGAAGAUCUAGAUGGGUGCACUCUUCUUCACCUUGCUUGUGAAACUGCAGACAUUGGAAUGCUUGAACUCCUCUUACAGUAUGGAGCAAAUGUGAAUGCAACUGAUUCAAGAGGUCAAACACCACUUGACCGUUGUAUUCUUAGAGGCAGAAACACAUUCGCAAAGUUGCUUCUUUCAAGGUGACUAUUGUCUUACGGUUAGAUUUGCUGUUUUAAAAAACUCAUUUAUUACAUCUUUCCCAAUUUCUGCAUAUUUAACUAAUUAGCUGUCAAUUUCUUUUAAAUGCUUCAUUUUUACCUCUUAUUUAUGAUUCGCUACUGAGGGGUUCGACUGCAUCUGCAGGGGAGCUGAUCCACGAGCAUUAAAUGGGGAUGGUAAAACGCCCCUUGAGCUGGCAGUCGAGUCAAACUUUGAUGAUGGUGAGGUCCUUGCUAUAUUAUCGGAGUCCAAUGGAUGAAACUAUCGAAUUAGCAACCAUCCGAAGACAACGGCAUGGAUGCUGGAUAAUUUUCGUUAAAAGAAACAAAAGGUAUCUCGCAUUUGUAUAAUUAUAGUUCAUAAAUUUGAAAGCUUGUUCUCCUUUGAAUGAAAUGGCACAAAGUGUUUUGCGGGUUUCAAGAGUGGUAGAAUCGCCUGCCUGCCCCAUGGGGGCACCGUUGCAAAAUGUCGUCCAGGGUUGUAAUUUAAAAUGGCUCCCGUGGUCUGUGAGCCGAAAGGCAUCUGGGAGCUUUCAGCGAAGGGCUCUGUAAUGUGUUGUCUCUUGUUUAUUCAGUUUUCUGCUUCCUUUUGGGUGAAGCUGUGAGGAUUUAGUUUAGGCCAUUGUGUAUUUGUACAUUGAUUUCUUUUAGUGAAGCUUUUGGUUGUUGUAACUCUUUUUGACUGAACAAACUUCCAACCCUAUGUUAUUCCAGUUUAAAGAUUCCGAAGAGGGAGAAGAUGAAAGUAAUACCCCGAAAAAGAAAGCAAAAAAUUUCCCGGAAAUUGAUGACUUUUGAUGCUUUUCUUUGCAAGGAAGGAUAUUUAUGAUAUGGAGGCAAGAAAUAAUUAUCUGGGUUUGAUUUUGUGUAAAAGAGUUCCUUAAUCAUAUUUGUGAAAACAUAAGAAAAUAGAAAAUAAUAUAUGAUGAUCUUCAAUCAUCCAAUCUUAUCCACGUCAGACUAAGAUACAAAGAUCUGAAAUGACGAAAAGACUGCACUGACAUAUCUUUUGAUGGGUCAAGCCUGUGAGCGGAGCCUAUAUGAUGUUACGCUCCCUUGUCAUGGCAUGUCAGUCAAAUGUAGCAGAACCCAUCACGUAUGGCGCAACAGACAGCUUGGUCUGCGGGUCUCCCUGCAAGUCAAAGGGCUACUGAAUCCAUCCACCACUAUAUAUUUAGGCAGAAUGUCAUUUUUGUCGUUCACCCAUUUUACAACUUUGAUAAUCUUCCUAGCAUCAUUUAUGUCAUUUUAUUGUAGUUUCAAAUCGGUCGCAAUGUAUAAUAAAUUUGUCAAAUUCCUUUCAAUAUCGUUCAAAAUACCCCCCCACACUUACUAUGUUCCGAGAAAAUUCGGACGUAUCUUUAAUGUAAGAGGUAUAAUCAAACCGCAUAGAUCAAAAUGAAAAAUCCAACAAACAUAAGAACUAGAAGUGAUUUUAUGCCUUUCAUUUAUUUACUUGUUUCAAUCAAGUAAUUUGGAUAGAAACAAAUGAAGCAGGUGAGUGAUGGUGCUAACUCAACUGCCAUGAAUAACUCCGUUGAUUUAUGAAACGCAAGAUGAUUAAAAAAAUGUUUUCUCACUUCAAUUUUCGAGACUUACCUUUUUAUUUAUUUAUAAUGAAAUGGAGGUGAAAAGCCCUCCUUGCUCCUGUUGGGCCUGAAAAGGCCAAGGCCCACACGUGCACGCGUGUUGGUGUUUCACUCGUCCCGAGACCCAUCGAUUCUUUUGAACCACCGGAAGCGGAAGCCAGACCAACCAUGAACGACUGGAACGACCCCAGCAAACGUGUAAAAGAUAAUAUUCCAUUUCCAUCCCCACAAAAAUUAAUAAUUAUAUUCCAAAGCAACAGUUUAUUAAAUUUUUUUGUUGUUGGGAAUUACUUUAAUUAAUUUAAACAACAAACAAAACAAAAGCCAAAAAGAAAAACACUUUACUAAUCAGUAAUCGCAUUUGGCUAAUCUGUAAUCUCCCCCAACCAUUUUUUAUAUAAUCGGAAUAAAUUCCCGCGGUGGUUCCUUCUCGACGGUUGGGAUCUCUUCCCGAACCAGCCAACGGCGGAUAUGUAUUUGGCGUUGCUCGGGCUUGUCUCACACGGUUCGAUGUUUCGCUUUCGGCCCUCGUGAUAGCGACACAGUGCCAACGUGGCGCAGUGGACCCCGGGGCUUGGUAGUCUGAAAGGCGGGAAGCCCAGUUUUGUCCUCCGCAUGAGAGAGAAAGAAAAGCAAAAAGAGCCAGAGAAAGUGCGUGUAAAAUGUAUCUCUCCUCUCAGACAGACACGGAGAGAGAGAGAGGGAGGGAGAGAGAAAUACAGUGAGAGAGGUAGGGAUUUUUGUUUGUAUUUUGAAUUUUUUUACAAGGGACAAUAAUAAUAGUGGUACCCAGAGGCAGGAAGAGUACCGGGUUGUUGUAUACUUGCUGUGUAGUUUGUGAAGAAAAGAACUUGCUUUGUUUUGUGAGACUCUGUGUGUGACUGUCUCUAACUUUGAAACGGCCAAGUUUCAAAACUUGCCCUUUCUUUUCUUCUUGUCAUUUUUGGCGAGCACUUUGGGUCUUCUAAGUUCUUCAAUCUCUGUGUCUCUGCUGAUGAGUAGUGGGGGUUUGUUUUUGUUAUUUGUAUUUUCGGGCAUGUUGAAGGGGUGUAAAUGAGGGGCUUGAAGAGAAAAAGAUGCGAAUCGGUGACGAAAUGAUUCUUUGCGUCUUUCUUCUGAGGAUUUUUGCGUCAAAAAAUUCGAUUUUUAUCUGAUAUUCUCCUCUUUCAUGUGCCCCUUGAAGCUUCUCUCAUGGGUUCUCCCCGCACUUUUCCCCACUACUUCAAGCAUUUCUGGACUGGGUUGCAUUUUCUGCGUCUCCAAGCUCCAUGGAGACUAAAGCCUUAAGAAAAACAAAGCAAAAAUUUGAGCUUUGACGCCAAAGCAGCUGCUACUCUUGAGUUUGUGUGGUCAAAUACUCAAGAAAGAUUUGAGCUUUAAGAUUGGUUUUGUUAAUUUUCAUCUGGGUUAUUUAACUUCAAGCUUCUGGUUUGCCUACUAUAUGUAACAUGUGGGUUUCAGUUUGGCUUUUCUGAGCCUUUGCUCUCACUGUCUUGCUUUUGAGAUUCGUGGCUUUCUACUCUCUAAUGGAUAGAAGAAGAAGUACUUCAAAAUUUAACAGUAGGCUUACUAGGCUUCUCCUUUUGCUAUUCAUAUUCUGCUUUCGCCAAGAAACUGUGCAGUGCCAAGAAACUGAGCCUCCAUCGUCGUCAAAGCAGCCCCACUUCAAGAACCAGCUUCAAAGAAUCAUUCUCAGCAUUGUGUUGGGAGUAGUGACAGGACUAAUUUGUGCCCUUCUCACUGCGCUCUUGGUCCGCUGCUUUCUCCGCUACAUUAGCAGAACCCCAAUUCUAAAAGGCCCUGUCAUAUUUUCUCCGAAAAUCGAUCCCAAGACACUCCAAUUGGCAUUAACUAAUGAAAACCAGUUACUGGGUUCUAGCCCAAAUGGCAAGUACUACAGGACUGUUCUUGACAAUGGGCUUAUCAUUGCAGUCAAGCAGCUUGGACCCUUUUCCGAGUGUAGUUCGCCAGAGUCUCAGAGCAAGUCGGUGAAGAGGCGAAUACAGCAGGAGCUUGAAGUUCUUGCUGGCCUGAGGCAUAGGCAUUUGAUGAGCCUGAGGGCUUAUGUUCGUGAACACGAUAGGUUCUCUUUGGUUUAUGAUUUUGUGCCCAAUGGGAGCCUAGAGGAUGCUAUGAAUAGAGUUAGAGCAAACCAAUUGCAGCUUGGUUGGGAAGUUCGGCUUCGGGUUGCAGUUGGGGUGAUUAAGGGGCUUCAGUAUCUUCACUCGUAUGUUCCUCAGAUUAUGCACUACAACUUAAAGCCUACAAAUGUUAUGUUGGAUUCGGAGUUUGAACCGAGAUUGGGAGAUUAUGGGUUGGCCAAGCUUACGCCUUAUUUGGAUGGAGCAACAUCUGGCUACAGCGCUCCAGAGUGUUUCCAGAAUGGCAGGUACACAUAUCAAACUUUGAUAAUAUCCAAACUUGGUAAUGUUUCGUUUUGUACAAUUACUAUGCUAUUCCGUUGAGGAAGCUAUAUUGAUAUAUUUGUGGAACUUGUAAUUGGGUUUAAUGAUAUUUGUGUACAGUUCCUAGUAAUUUUCUUGCUUUUACAGUACUUAUCAGGAGUUUGGUAUUCCACAUCACAAAUGUUUAGUCUGGGGCAGGAUUGGAUUAGGUCUGCUACCUUUUAAUUUCCAUUAGCAAUUUAGCUUCUUUUUCAAAUGUCUCGCUCUCCUGCACAAGGUGAUGGAUACUCGAAGCUCACGGCCAAUACAGGGGUGUGUGUUUUGUGGGUGGGAUUGCAAUCCCACACCCUUUGUCCCACUUUUUUUCGCCCCUGUAUGGAAUUCUGAAAGUUUCCCUUGGAGCUGGAUUAUUCUCAUAGUUGUUAAGAUAUAAGGCUUUGUAGAACUUCAGAAUAUUGAUGGUUGUUUGCCUUAAAUUUGGUGCUAUGGGGUCUUAUAUGUAGCAGUUGUGUUAUUUUGACUAGCUUGUAGUAUGGAAAUAAAAACAGAUAUACUCUUCCACUAAAGGCAUUAUAUUCAAUUUUGACAGGUACAGUGAUAAGAGCGACAUCUUCAGCUUUGGGAUGAUAUUGGGUGUUUUAUUAACUGGUAGAGACCCAACUGACGCCUUCUUUGGGGAAGCAGCUAGUGGUGGAAGUUUAGGACGGUGGCUGCGGCACUUGCAGCAAGCCGGGGAGGCACGGGAAGCAUUAGAUAAGAGUAUAAUAGGGGAAGAGGGGGAGGAAGAUGAGAUGUUGAUGGCAGUGAGAAUUGCUGUUGUAUGUCUAUCAGAUUUGCCAGCAGAGAGGCCCUCAAGUGAUGAGCUUGUUCACAUGCUAACCCAACUGCACAGUUUUUGAAUCAAAUGCAAGUAUUUUGUCGAGUUGAAGCUUCUAUUUCUGUAGAUUUUGGGGAACUAGACUUCAGAAAUGUUUGCUCUCAGGUUUUGGUCUGCAAUCUGCACGGCUUUUCAAAUUGUAAGCUUCCCUGUUGUAAUGUACGUACAUUGACUGUGGUGAAGAAGUCAAGGAAAUUUCUGACUUUGGAGUAAGAAUGAGCAGAUAACCCAUGUGGGGCACAUCUCUAUUAUUGUGUUUUUCACCUCCUGAUGGUAGGGAUUUGGUGGCUGUCUUUUUGUGGACAGUACUUUUUUCAAAAUCACGGGUCUUUUCAACCUGUGAAGUUGGACUAUUCUCUACAUGCCGCUUCAAUAACCAUUCUGUGUAGAUGUGCAAUUUGAGAAAAGCUUCCAUGUCAAGAGUAUAAUACUGUUUUUCUAUUUUCCACCAAUCAAAUUAGAUCAUACGGAAUAGUUACAAUGCAUGACGGAUUAGUUGGAAAUAUCAAAACAGUGCUAUCUUCGUAAUAUACAAUUUUUUUUUUCAUACUUCAGUGUUCUUGUAGGCAUGGAUUCAAGUUCUAAGGUGGAUGCAACCAGCUAACACGCAGUCUACAAAUCAACUAAUAUUUCAUAAAAGAAUCAAAUAGCAAUAUGAGUAUUUAGUAAGUCUUUUGAUAACCUUGCUUAUUGGAUUAAUAAUUCUUUUUCAAGGCUCCUUUUACUUUCUUGCUGUGAUCCCCAUCCCCAUGGUUCUAUUUUGGAAGAUGUAAAAGCCAUUAUUGGUUGAGUUUGUCUUGCCUAAUGUGUGUCACAAAUUGUAUCCACAUGUGAUGAACAUGACUAGGAAGCAAGAAGAGACAGGAAAAAGCAUGUGGUGGGGAUACUCAGAAACCAAGCAGCUCAUGCAAAUUGGGCCCAAAAUUAGCAUGCUUGAAAAGAAAAAAGAAAAAAAGCGAGUUAAAAAGCAUGAGAAGGAUUAGAAAAGAUGACCCAACCACUUCCAGCUGUGACUGCAAGUAGAACCCAACCUUCCAUUCUUUUAAUUAUUAAGAGCAUUUAUAAUGGGCUCUUUAAAUUAUAUUUUUAGACAAAUUUUAGAGAUGAAAUGGAAAAAUAUAACUUCAAUCAUGCUCCCUAUUCACCUCUUAAAAUAGAGAGACCUUUAAGAGCUCAUAAAUUUAAGGAGAGAGAAAUGACUCUUAGUGACUCUAUAAUUUAAUGCUCCUUUAUUUAAUGAAUAUUUCAAACCUUUAAUUAAUAUAAUUAUUUUUUAAAAGAGAUUGACCAAUUAAAAAAAAGUUAUAGCAUUUAUGACUUCCUAAACUAGAGAGCACCAUUGGAGUUUAAAUUUUAUAGAGAGCUCCUAAAAUAACUUUUAUAUGUUUUUAGCUAAAAUUUAACAAAAAAAUAGAGAGUAUCAUUGUGAAUGCUCUAGGGUAUAUAUAUAUAUUGCAAGAUAAUUAUUAAGAGAAAAUUAUUUAAAGGAGAGGAAUUCUUUUUCUUCUCAACAGAUGAGAAAUCCCCCAAGUCACAAGGUGAGGGUGGGAGAAGACUUCCAUGAAACGGAGAUCAAACUUUUUUCUACUUUCAGGUUCCAGUCAAUAACAUUAUAUAGGAUAACACUUCUACAUGACAUAUUAUUAUUGGCAGGAGAUAGCAAGAUAGUUCUAUUUUUGUUGCAACUAAAUUUUUUUCGAGGGUCAGGGGUAUUAUAGUUUGUUAGCUUUUUGGGCCUUGGGCUUCAUGUUAUAUACAAAAAUUAGUGGUGGGAGAAAUUGCAAGUGUUUGGGCCGGAAGGUGUUUGCUUUGUCUCACUUCGGCCUGUGGGUGAAAUGUCAAAUUGCCAAAGAAAAUAAAGAAAGACAAAAACUGGAGUUGGAAAACCGGAGUGUGGGAGAAAAAUCCAAGUAUGAGCAUCUCUCAAUCCAUUCAUUUAGUUUUGUUUUUGUGGACGAAAUAUCAAUCCAUUUAGUUCACCACCAAAUUCCCAGUUAAAGCAGAAAGUUAAUAUCUUAUCCGGUCUCAAAAAAUCUAUGCUACCUUAUCCAAUAUCCAUCCAAGUCAUUGCCCAGGCUGAUAUAUUAUAGUGCUGAGCUUUUGCCCCUCUUAACUCGAGCAAAUCAAAACCAACUUACUUCCAACAAAAUGCAGGCCAUUCUACGUCUCCCACCACCAUCUGUAUCACCCCUUGCCCUUGCAACACCCACCACCACCAAGUCCCUUGCCUUGCCAUGCAGCUCCUCCAUUCCAAGGCUACUAAAAUCCCCAAGGUGCCCCCCACUCAAGGCAGCCAAUGUCACAGAAGACCCUUCUGCUGUUGAUUACAGCUCCGUCACUUCGUAAGUCAAUACCACUCUCAGCUCUUUCUUCUUAUUGAUCUUAAUAUUCUAAUCAAUUGUUUGCUCAAGCAUAAGCAUUAAUUUGUGAAAUUUACAGUGUUUUUCCGGCAGAGGCUUGCGACACAAUCGGAGGAGAAGCUUGUGAUGUCGAAAUGUAUCCUGAGGUGAAGCUCAAACCAGAAGACAGGAACAACACAGCCAAGACUACUUCUGAGCAGUUGGAUAGAGAUUAUCUAGAGUACGACAGCCCCAAGACGUAAGAUGAAUAAUCUUUUUAUUGGUUUGAGGUAUGAAAUUUUGUAUUUUCUUUUUGAUUGUCUAAAAUGGUUUUAUGUUGAUGAUUGCUGCAGGGUCUUUCCUGGAGAGGCUUGUGAUGAUCUGGGAGGAGAAUUUUGUGAGCCUGAGUAUCAGAGAGGGGUUCACUAGGCCCUGAGAUCUUUUCUUUUCUCAUCUCAGCUCUAUUGUUGACUCUAAUAAUUUUGUGAAUAAUUACUAUUUGGAAGGGUAGCUGGCAAUGUUCUUGAAUAAUAAAUAAUGAACAUGAACAUGUAAGAAUAUAGCCCAGUUGGGAAAUUCUAGUUGCAAAUUCUGAUCUUCACAAUUUUCUUUGCUUCAAUAUUUGAAAAACUCAGAAUCAGGGAUACUACCUACGACUCGGAAACCAGAUAAUUGAUGAAUCAGUAUAUUCUCCAAUGAUUAGAACUAAGAAAAGAUUUGUUUCUUGACAUUUGAAAUACUAUUUACUGAUCAUAUCAAGUUUCAGAGCUUGCACAUCACACAGUUUUUAAGGGUUUCUACAGAAAUCACAUUAUGAACAAGAACAAUGAAGAGCAGAUAUUAACACUGACAUGUUUAGGCAUCAAAUGUCACAGAGCUUCAAGUAAUUUUGAGCCUAAAUCCGAUACGCCUGCUAUUCACUCGCUUCAGUGAUCUCUUCCAGAAAAAGAUACUGGAGAGAAAUGGAAUACUUAGCAGUCUUUGUUCUCCCUGAAUUGCUAUUGUCCUUUAGAACAAACGAUCCAGAGCCAUCACCUUCAGCACACACACAAACUCCCAAUUAUAAUAUGUUGCAAAGAUCAUAUACCCAAAAAAAAUAAAAGAACACUUAUUCUAAUAUUCCAUAUAAAAUUAUAAUGCAUAACCGUCCCAUUGCUAAACAAACCUUGAAUUGUAAAAAUGGUUGUAACCCAUCUUUUGUAGAUGAAGAGCAACCUUGGGGAGUCUCCAUGGUGUGUAUCAGACAGCAGAAGCUUGCAAGGACUCGUUUCACUACCAUGAAAAGUUAAAGCUUACCAUACUACUAUUGUUACUGAACAGAGCAAAUUAAGUCACUAAUUAUAAUUAAAAAAGGUUAAUUACUCACUUGGCAUGAACCAUGGCAUUGUGACAUAAAGCUAGUGUCCGAACCAUUGCUAAGUCUCUUCCACGUGGGUUACCAUAUCUUUCUUGGCAGCUCCUUUAAUUGAAAGUAAAAAAAUUAAAUUAACAGAUUGACACUAGUGAACAAGAAAAGAAGAAAGGAAAUACCUUUCGUCAAAGAAAUCUCCAAAAUCAUCAAUAACAACUGCCACAGGAAAUGUCUCAUGCAGGUGAAAUGCAGCAAAGUACUUCUUAAUUCCUUCAUCAUCAUCCACAUACCUAUACAGAUGAAAACUUGUCUCAAAAAUCCCAUUUAUACAUCAUCAUUCUUUAGAAGUGUUAUGAUCAAGAAAGCUUCAAAGGGUAAACUCACUUCAUUUGUAUGCGCUGAAAUGUCUCAGAGGAUGAAUCAACGCCCUGAAAAUGUUUAGCACAGAAAAAUGGCUUAUGGGUACUGAAAUAUCUCAAAUAAUAAAUAGAUUUAUUUUUAAAAGAAAAAAAAGAAAGAGAAGAGGUACCUGGGAAAGAUAAGGGGGCUUGACCUCUAACUUGCGGCGGUUGCAAAUGAACAUCACUUUACCAUUAGUAUUGCCAUGGUGGCCCUCCCCCAUUGCGGAGUUGAAUGCAAACUGGAAUAUUAAGGAGGUUUUUCCGCUGCAAAAAAAUGAAGACACAAAGCAAUUAGAGAGAGAAAUGGAGAGAGAGAGAGAUAUAUAUAUAUAUAUAUAUAUAUAUGGAAAGUUGAAUUACGAAUACCAGGAAGGAGGGCCAGAGAGAAGCAUGACAGGGUGGGAUUGGCUGUUUUGUUGGAGGUCCAUUUGCCUCACUGAGAAAAAUCUCUGCACCAUGGUUGAGCUGAAGCCUGAAGCUACAAUGUCAACAGUCAGAUGGAAAUUUAUACUUGGUUGGUCCAAAUCACAAAACCCGGGCCUUACAAAAAACCCAUCUUGGAUUUUACCGGCGUGCCUUUUUCUGUGUUUUUUUUUCUUCUUUUCAUGAACAAUAAUCUAGUUGGCGCCAAAAAAUUUAUUAUUUAUUAUUUAUAGGAAAAUAGAGGCACCCACAAUAAUUUGGAACCCUCCAGUUAGAAAUAUAUUAUUUUGCCAAGGCCUAGUAUAUGGAUUUUAGCUCUUACUUUCACUUAUAUAUGCGUUUUUGUUCCUGCAAAUAUAUUUGAAAUUAAUUAUGCCUUGCCUACUAUUACAGUGAAUUUCAAAAUCUUUUCUAACUAAUAUAAAUAUUUCCAAUGCAUGUUGUUAUGCAUUGAAUGGCAUAAUAGUUAAGAGAGCACACUGCGGACUAUCGAAAGAGUAGCCAAUCUCCAAAAAGUUAAGACCAAUGUAAAUUGCUCUGCAAGACAUACUCGAUGGGAAGUAUAUAAGCAUAGCAUAAAACCUUGAAUUUCCAGUUCAUUUCAGCAAAAGGAAAAGAAAAACAACUUCUCAAGAAAUUCAGAUGGAGGUAACUCAUAAGUUUGCAACUACAGUUGCAAGAUAAAGGGCCUAAAUCAGCAAAGGAGAAAAUUGUGUUCAUAAGAUUACAUUGGCUCAGAAUCAUCAUGUUUCUAUUGGCAAUAGCGUGGCUGACCCAUUUCCAAAUCCAGAUUCCAGUACUACCUCCGACAGGUCAUCGCUCUCAAAAAAGGCAUGGUGAAGGGCCUUGACGCAUUUUUCAGCUUCACUAUCAUUUACUAUCAAUGAGAUGUUCACCUGAUUUAUAACAAAUCAAUUAUUAGACAGCAAAGAAAAAUAAUGAAUGAGUGAAAUAUUAUGAGUUAUGACUGAGAGACCUUAGAUGCGCCUUGCGAGAUCAUUUGGACAUUGACUUGAUUGGUUCGGAGAACAUGAAAUGCCUGCGAGAAGGAAAGCCAACUAUAUGAGAUAAGAAAGAAGAGGAAAAGAAAACAUCUCUUCUGGACAAAUUCUAGAACAUUGCAGAGGGAAACAUAACACCUUCUCUAGUAUCAAUGAAGAAUACUGAACAUUCCCUAUGAGUGAGAUGAUUGAUCUACGCUGCAGAAGAUUCACGAAUGCAAUUUUUUCGAGUUCUUCCUCCAUCUUGUCAAGUUCCUGUUACAUAUGCCACCAAUUUGUACGCAUUCAGAAAAUUAGCACAGACAAAUCUUUCAACUAGUGAUGUACCAGUGUUGGCUCUUAACUAAAACGAACGUCGAGACUGACAAUCCAUAUCUAUUGUCUAUGAGUUUCACACCGUGUAUCUUUAUGUAUUUUACAUUGUGCAUCCUUACAAAAGGAUGCCUCUUAUUCACAGGGACCUUGAAAAGGUAUAAACAGCUUUAAAAGAAUUACAACUUAGAACAACAAAUAAAUCCUACAUAAAGAACAUAAGAUUAUAUGCUUGCCUGCUGAAUUAGUUCUCUACUCCAAAACUUUGAUGGAUCCAAUGUCAAAGAUAAACUGACUUCACUUGUUGCAACAACAUCCACAGAAAUGCCCAAAUCUUCAAAGGUCGAGAACACCUAUUUGGAUGAUGAAUCCCACCGUAGGGGGGACAUCACGACAAUUACAAUCAGAAAUUCCAAAACAAGAAAAGCAAUAUGGCAACAACUGCAAAAACAAAACCAAGGAAACAAAGAGUUUCUCACCUUUGCAAGGAAGCCAACUUGACCAAGCAUGCGUGUACUGACAAUAUCCAACAGGGUGACAUUUUGCUUCAGAACUAUGCUGGUUAGAACAGCCUGAAGUUGAUUUCAAGGGAUAGAUUGGGGUAAAAAUAAAAGAUCAAGAAUGUUUGAAUUUUACACACACUUCAAUUCUCAAGAAAACAAGAAAAGAAAAGAGAAGAUAAAGCUGCCCAAACCUUGCUCAUAUCUCUUGUUUUAGUGAUGAGGGUACCAGGAGCUUUAGGGUUAUAAGAGUUCUUGACCCUAACAGGAAUCUCGCCAUCUCUAGCCGGUCUCAUGGAUUGUGGAUGUAGAACCUGCGCAAUUGUCAGUGCAAUUAUAUUUAUCUUUCUACCUAAGUGCUCUAUUUCUACCACCGAUGCUAAAUGGCUAGCUCUCAUCAAGAUUCCAUCUACAUUUCUUCAUACAAUUACUAGAAGAAUGCUUUGUCUGUCUAAUCACAAUUAUACAAGAAAAAAAGUGGGGCUCAUCAUCUGAAUAAAAGAUGCUCAUGAAUUGAAUACAAAUAUUGCUUUAGUGGAAGUCUUAGUCCACAAACUUAGUCCAAAGCACUUCAUGGAUGGGAUGGGAGUCUAAUGCGCACUUCAUGUAUGGGAGUCCAAAGCCCACUUUAUACCCAUCUAUAAAUACUUGAAAAAAAAAAAACUCUGCAGUAUCCCUUCAAUUUGUUAACUCUCUGUCUAUAGCCAUAGGUUCUCUCAUAAACACAUGCUGCAGAGAUAAUAUUAAGGCUAAAAUUUCAACCAACUGGUUGAGUCCUCUAAUUAGAAAAUAACAUCUAAACUGCAAGAGUAAACAGAAUCUACCUGAGCACCAAAAUAUGCAAGCUCAGCUGCCUCAUCGAAAGUCAAAUAGGGAACAGGUUCUGCAUCAGGACAUAUACUAGGAUCACAGGUCAAAACACCAUCAACAUCCUUCCACACCUGUUAAAACUGUUAAAUUAGCUUCUAUAUGUGUUUGCCUAAUAAAUUCAAAAUGAAUACUAGCAUACAGUUCCUGCUAAUUAGAAAAAGAAAUGCACAAAAUCUCCAAUAAAAUGCUAGCCAUGUUAGCUACAUCAAUAAAAUAACAGACAACCAUCAGCAUGCAAUCAGAAUAAACACAAGUGAUGAAUGCAAGCAUGAUAGGGUGCAUAUCUACAUGAGUUCUGGUGAUACAUGCAUUUAGAGCCUAAUCUCACCUGAACUUCUCGCAAGCCUAGGGAUUUACCAAUGGUUGUCGCUGUUAAAUCACUACCACCCCUACCCAGGGUAGUAACUGCACAAGAUUUUGAGCCCUGCAAUCAAUAAAACAGAUGCAAUGUUGAAAGCCCAGCCACUAAAUAUUAAUUUCAUCAGAAACUGAGACUUCAAAUCAAACAUGUGAGCAGGAAUUUGAUUGGGCAGCUAGCCAGGGGAAAGACCUUUCCGAGAAAACCAGUAACAACCGGAAUUGCAGGAUCACUAAUCCAAUCAUCAUUUAAUCUUUUAGCAACGGAUGGGUAAGUUCCUUCCAAGAUGUCAGCAUUGGUGAAGUCAUCUGUUGUUAUGAAACCAAUGUCAAAUGCAUCAUACUGCAGUACAUUAAUAGCAACCAUCAUCAACAAAAUAUCUUAAGUGGCUACUAACAAAGAGAGUAACGAUGCACUAGAGAAAAUAAUCCAAAAGAAUCAGAAGAAAGAAAAUAUUGUCAAAUGCAUAUUUUCGAAAGAUGGAGUAUACAUACUUGGCGUGCCUUAACACCAAAAUUAUUUAGAUAAGCUGCAAAGAUCCUUGUGGACAUGCACUCUCCAAAUGAAACUAGAUAGUCUCUUGUGCGGAGAGUUAACUCUUUCAUCAUAGCUACUCCCUUCAGCAAUUGCUCUAGUUCUUCUAAGUACGCUGCAACAUGUCCCAGGAAAAAAAGGGGCAAACACCCAAAGUUUCCAAUUAACAACUGAUCCUAGACCUUAUUAAUAAAAUUAAAACAAUUCAACACAACAAAUGAGGAAAUUCAGACAUUAAAAAAAAAAAAUUCAUCCCUUCACUUAAAGUUCUUACCAGAAAUAACGGAGCUAUCAAUUCCAAGUUCUCUAACAGUCCUGAGCAAAUGCAAUCACACAGUUUUUAACAACAGCUCUAAAGCACAAUUGAAAAAGAAAAUGAGAAAGAUAAAGGAAAAUGAUGAGUUAACCUGAGAUGCAGUUGUUUUAUAAAGCUCAAUUCUUCAAUUUCUGACGCAUUCGAGACCCCACAACUGACAGCCUUCUCCCCAGCCUAUGCAUACGUUAUACAUAAAUCACAGCCAUCCAAUCGCAUUAUAAUUAAGCAAUCAAAUCACACAAUUGAAUAACUUAAUCAGAUAACAAUGAAAAGUUCAUUACAAGUAAGAGGUUGUUAGUGGUCUUCCCCAUGGCAGAGAGCACAACAACAGGCUUUUCAUCAGGAAAACUGACAAUGAGCUGAGCAAUCUCUCUUAUCCUCUCUGCCGAUGCCAACGACGAUCCUCCGAACUUCAUCACGCAAGUGAAUGGUGCUGUAUCAGAGCCAUGGCUCCCUGUUGCUUUCUCUUCUUCUUCUUCUUCUUCUCCUCCAAGCACAGCUUCAAUUCUUUUCUUCUCGCUGUUACCUCUCAAGCUAAUGCCUUUACAUGCAUUUUCCAUUGCCGCAUGGAAUGAUCGUGAUGGUGAGGCCACCGAAGAGAGCCAUGGCUUGCUCGAUAAGUGUGAGAGUCUUGGAGUUCGUGAGUAGCAGGGAAUUCUAACCCCGUGGAAAUGCAAUGAAGCCUCCAUUUGCUUAUCUGACUCUGUACCGAAGUUGCUUCGACGAAUAAUCAAAUUCAGGGUUUCUGAUUUAUUGGAUUUUCAUUUGUUUUCCAGACGUUUCUUUGGCAACCAAACGCGUGAGUGAAAUUUCUGUAUCGGGAACGAAGGGGAGGCAAAAGGGCAAAACACCCAUCAUCCACUACGGCGUUUUUUGUUUAUAUAUAUCUUUUUACCCUAAGGCCGGUUUGGUUAAUGGGAAACAAGAUUUGGAAAUGAAUUCAGUUGCUUUUUCAUGUUUAGUAAGUGCAUGUAUGAGAAAUAGUUGUCUGACACAUGAAAAAGUAUAGGGGAAAGUAAAGUCUCUUCUUAACUUGGGUUUUGUUUUUCCUCCUCAUGAGAAAGUUUGGGAAAAUGAACCAACAUUCAAUGCAUAAUUUUCAUGACUAUUUUGUUCCUAUGAACAAUUUAUAAUUACAACGUAUCAUUAAAUAUAUUUUUUUAAAUUUGAUUUAAUAUGGGUAUAAUUAGAAAAUUAUACAAACUUUGUUUUUCAUUCCUACUCAAAACAAACAUGAGAAAGGAAACAAAGUGAAAUCUCCCGGUUACUUUCCUGACAUUUUCAUUUUCAUUCUUUGAAAAAUGACAUGAGAAAUGAUUUUCCCUCAAAUUCAUUCCGUGAACCAAACGGGGCUAAUGGAUACUGUAUCGUUUGUUUGUCCUUACUUCUUACAGAAAUGGAAAAUUACCAUUAAGCCUUCAAAAAGACUAUCGUCGCUCAGACGGGUCUGCAACAAAGUUUGAACGAAGUAACGAAAUCCUGAACUUGUAAACUAGAGAUUUUUUUGAAUCAAAAGCUUAAUUUUGAAUGUCUUCUUCUUUCACAGUUCAAUGUUCUUUGCUAACUUCCUGCGGUUUACAUCAUCAUGAUCAGACUCCAUCUACAAAAGCUGCAAACUUUGCUCAAAUUCCUUCGUGGGUCUCUCUCAAAUUCACCGCUCCUUCGAUCAAUACCCGCCAAAUAGAAAGUGGUCAAGUCGAAAAUGUGCACUUGGUUUCUCUAUCUAAGCAAGGGAAGCUCAAAGAAGCUCGUGACUUUCUCAAGCACAUGAACGAAGCAGGUGUCUCCGUCAGUCCUCAAUCUUAUAAAUGCCUCUUUGAAAAAUGUGGAUUAAUGGGUUCCUUAUCAGAUGGAAAACUUGUGCACGAUUGGUUGCGAAAAACAAUUAAGAGCCCACCUGAAUUUCUUGAGAAUGAUGCUCUUCAGAUGUAUUGCGAUUGUGGGAGUUUAUCAGAUGCACAGAAAAUGUUUGAUGAGAUGCUUCACAAGAAUUUGGUUUCUUGGGUUAUAAUUAUAUCCGCUUAUGCGCAAAAGGGUAUUUUGAAGAGAGCUAUUUUGAUGUUUUCGCAUAUGCUAGAGUCUGGGAUUAGACCGAACUCGUCUAUUUUUACGAGCCUCUUAAAGUCCUUGACUGAGCAUUCGCUUUUAGAGCUUGGCAAACAGAUACAUUCUUAUGUGAUAAGAACAGGGAUGAAUAGUAAUGUUUCGAUUGACACGUCAAUUGCAAACAUGUAUGUAAAGUGUGGAUGGUUAGAGGGUGCUAAGCUUGUUUUUGAUAGGAUGGCUGACAAGAAUGCUGUGGUUUGGACUGGGUUGAUGGUGGGCUAUACUGAAGAUGAGAAACUGGAGGAGGUUCUAGAAUUGUUUGCUGAGAUGGUUAGGAAAAGUGUAGAAGUGGAUGACUUUGUGUUUUCGAUAAUUCUUAAGGCAUGUGCUGGUUUGGAGGACCUGAUUAUGGGAAAGCAAAUCCAUGGUUAUAGUGUUAAACUUGGGUUGGAUUCUGAGGUUUCUGUAGGAACACCUCUAGUGGACUUCUAUGUCAAAUGUGCAAACUUUGAAUCUGCUUGCCGAGCGUUUGAGAGAAUACAUGAACCAAAUGAUGUUUCAUGGAGUGCUAUAAUCUCAGGCUACUGCCAGAGUGGGAAAUUUGAGGAGUGUGUCAAGAUUUUUCAGUCUUUAAUUUGUAAAGGUGUUACUUUAAAUUCAUUCGUAUAUACGAGCAUUUUUCAAGCAUGCUCUGCAAUUGCAGAUGUAAAUUUAGGCACUCAAGUUCAUGCUGAUGCGAUAAAAAGAGGGCUCGUUGCAUUGUUGCAUGGAGCAAGUGCAAUGAUUACGAUGUACUCAAAAUGUGGCAGAUUGGACUAUGCCUAUCGAGCAUUUGAAUCGAUAGGUAAACCUGAUACUGUGGCCUGGACUUCUAUAAUUAGCGGUUAUGCUUAUCAUGGCAAUGCCUCUGAAGCUCUUAGGCUUUUCCAUAGAAUGCAGGAUUCUGGUGUAAGGCCAAAUUCAGUAACGUUUAUAGCAGUUUUAACUGCUUGCAGCCAUUCAGGUUUGGUCACAGAAGGAAAGCAGUAUUUGGAUUCAAUGAGCUGUGUAUAUGAUGUAGAACCAACCAUCGAUCAUUACGAUUGUAUGAUUGAUGUAUACUCUCGUGCUGGGCUACUACAAGAGGCACUUGAACUGAUAAAGAGUAUGCCGUUUGAACCCGAUGCAAUGAGCUGGAAAAGUUUAUUGGGGGGAUGUUGGAUACAUCGAAAUCUGGAGCUUGGGAAGUUUGCAGCUGAGAACCUCCUCCAGCUGGACCCAGAGGACACUGCUAGUUACAUAAUCAUGUUUAAUUUGCAUGCUUCAUCUGGAAAAUGGGAAGAAGCUGCAGUUUUUAGAAGAAUGAUGGCUGAAAGGGACUUGAGAAAAGAAAUAGGAUGCAGCUGGAUCACUGUCAAGGGGGAAAAGCACCGGUUUAUAGUGGGUGAUCAACACCAUCCUCAAAUAGAGCAAAUAUACUCAAAACUGAAGGAGCUGAGCAUUUCUUUCAGGGAGGCUGAAGAUUCCCUUCUAACUGAAGAGGAUGUAUUGAAUGGUUUUCCUGAGAGGAAAGAACAGCUUCUUGAGCAUAGUGAGAGACUUGCUAUAGCUUUUGGGCUCAUAUCCACACCAAGUAAUGUCCCAAUUGUGGUUUUCAAGAACAUCAGGGCCUGCAAAGAUUGCCAUGAAUUUGCAAAACAUGUUUCUGUGGUAACAGGGCGUGCAAUUGUUGUGAGAGAUUCUAGUAGAUUUCAUAACUUUGAGUUGGGGGAGUGUUCUUGUAGAGAUUAUUGGUAACUUCUGCAAUCUCACUGCCCAAUGGAGAUUUGGGCAUGGCACUUUUUUUCUGGAAGCCUAGGCCACAAGUGGGGCUGGUCUUCCUCUAGCCACCAUUGCAUGUGAGUGCACACGUGUCUGUGUAUGACAAGCUUGGUUACUUACUGCUUCUUGCCAUGUGUCUCUUUCUGGUUGCUGCUGCCUGAUGCAUCAAGAGGAAGCUCAAGUCACCUCCAACUUCCAAGUGCAUGGGGACGAACAGAAGCGAUACCCAAUAAUACGGAGGAUUGGUGCAGUCGGUGGUGAUAAUAGUAGUUAUUUUUUACUGCCUCUUGCAAUAAUUUAGUGGGGGCUAAAGUGACAAUAUGUGUGUUGAUUCUGUUGACACGUUUUUGUACGAGAAUCUCAAGAUUUUGUGUGAAGAAAUCACGGGCAAAGCAAGCGCAGCAAGAGAUAUUAUUUCUUUCUGCUUUUUUUAGUGGGUCUCUAAACCAGCAUCACCAUAGAAGAAAACCUUCAUUUGACAAAUGGACUGGACACUACGGGAAAGUAAAUAACUAUUAAGAAUUCCAACUUCCCCAAAGUGUAUUAGAAUAUGAGUUUUUAAAGUUGUUGAAUAUCAAGUUUCAUAUAUUGAAAAAUUCAAAGGGAUGCACAAGAACCAGUAUAAUAAUGGAGUUGGGAUCCAGGAAAUCUGCUUAGAUCUAAAGAAUUAAGAAACAGAAACAAACAAAAACCCACCUCCUAUGAUUGCAUCAUCAUUCAUCACUUGGAUAAUUAUUAUGAAAAAUAAACCAUAUACGAAAGAGAAAGAAACAAAGGAGCUUUUGAUGGCAGUUGGCAAGUUGCAGUUGGAUGGUAAUGGUUAUGGUACUUUAUGGUAUUAUGGGUAAUUGUUAUUUUCAGUUGGCGCCAAAUAAAAUCCUAUCCACAAAUCCACUCCUACUAUGGCAACUCAUGUAUCAGCUAAGCCAGCCAAUCCCCGUCAUCUCUGCUGGUUUCUCUCCCCUUCUUAAAUUAAAUUCCCUCUUUCACCCACUCUCACACAACUCACUGUUUCCGCUCUGUUGCCUUCUGGGUUUCAUCUCUCUUCCCAUAACUCAAGUGAAAAAAAAAAGCCUUCGCUUGCCUGCUUGCUUUCUUCUUCUCAUUCUCAGGAAGAUGGGCUUUUUUAUGUGCAGCUUUUCUUGGUUGGCUUCAUUUCUUUAAGGUGAGCUAUACAUUUGUGUUCCUUUUUUCGAAGUCUGGUGCUUUUGAUCUUCUCAUGGUUUUCUGAAUUCUGCAUGUCUUGAAGAUUUAAUCAGUUGAGUUUAACAAUACCUGAUUUUUUUCAAGUUUCAAACUUGCUUCUUGAACAUCAAAUAAAUAAGAGAAGUGCUCCCACCCCUACAAUUCAAGAAUGUAUGUGCUAGAGAACAGGGCAAAAUCACAACAUGGCUAAGACAAUCUCUGCACUGUCUAACAAAACAGGGCAAAUGAUAUUUGUUAGCACCAUGAGGUGCGUAUGCCCUUUGUAUUUUCAUUAUGUCACAAAAAAUCUUCUGUGCUUCUAAUAAAAGAUGCAAUUUUGUUUAGGGGCUCCCUGGAUGCAAUUUAAAUCACAUGAUCUUCUCCAUCUUCAAAGUUUCAAACUUGCUUCUGGAUAAAGCACUUUUGUUGAAGUAGUCUAAAGUUCAUGGAUAUUGGACAAAUGAAAUGUUCCUCGAGCUAUGGAAAGCCUCCAUGGAUAUUCAAAGGCAGGUAAGUGUCCAACAACACUUGGGUUUUUUGGCCUUUUGUUCCCAAUCAUGAAAAAGGACUCUGCUGACUGAUUGCCCUGAUUUUUCUAAUCAGUGCGUUGUAUCAAUUCCAUCUUGUCAAAGCAGCAACUGUUCGUGCAUGCAUCCCAAAAGAGUUCAGAUUAGUUGAAGCAUUUGGGUUAGUAUACUUAGUAACAUUGUUGCUUAAAUGAUUGAGAGCGGUACAGGAGCAUAAUGUGAGAGCUCUACAUAUUUAGUAACAAGACCUUGUCCAUAUAUUUGCUUUCCCAACCUAAAUAGAUUUGUUGGUUUCUCAUCACUUUUAUAUGUUGCUCCUGAUAUUAGCCUCCAGUAACGGGUUCAUAUGUUUCGUGGUGUUUUAAGAAUUUGAUUACCAAACAUGUGUUUACACUUUGCAGGUAUACCCUUGGUGGCUUCUUUCUUGCCAACUAUGAUGACAGUCCAGCUGGAGUCUUUGAUGAGGUUCAUAUCUUCAUACUUUUUUGGCCUUGGUACAAAAAGUUAAUAUAUCAGUUUUCUUCUCAUUACUUGGUUUAUUGUAGGAGUGAUCCAUGUUUGCUUUAGCAAAGAUGUGGAAAAUAAUAAUUUUCAAGUUUAUUCAACCAGUCACUAACUGGACUGCGUUUGUUUUCUCCCUCCCAGCUCGUUGUAAUUGCUGGACUUGUAUGGAGCCCACCAACAUCUUGCGCGUAUGUUUUCUUCAACCUUAUCUUUCUUCAUAAUAAGAUGAAGAGCAUACAAUCUUGUUAGGCAACAAUACCCCAAUUUCUAAACUAUCUAAAGCAACAAAAACAAAGUUACUUCAACCAUCUAAAGCACCUUAUUUUCUUCUCAACUGGACUGAAUAAUAUCUCAACAAACUUAUGCCCCUCUUUAGACGAGUUAUGCGGCUACCAAUUGAGUUAUAUCUUCUUCUUCUUCUUCUUUUUAUUUUCUUUUGUGUCAGUUGUGACAUUGUGAAAGGGUGUUUAGACUUGGUACAUCCUCUUUAGCAGAGAGGUCUGACUACUGAGCUAUGUCUAAUGAUAUCUAAAUAAUUACUUUGUUCUUGUUUUGAAAUGUAGAUGAAAUAAAACUGUUGUGGAAACAUUGGUUAUGGAGUACUUAUACAGAAGCAGUUUGACUUGUUUUUGUCAAACAGAUGGGCAGCUAAGGUGCUGGUGAAUAGUUAUGAAGCUUGUGAUCAUGGACGAAAGGUGGGAGGCUGCAUAAGCAUAAGGCAUUUUGCAAUAGAGCUAGUCACAAUUUCUUAUUGUUCUUCUAUAGUUCUUAUGUUGCUUGUAGUCGCUUCUUGCAGGAAGUGGGGCUUCCAAGUCACGUUGCGAGGUUUUCUAAGGUACCCUUGAAUGCUCAUUUGUCGUCAGCUUGCAUAAAAUAUUGAAGUUACCCUGCUUUUAUAUGCUUCUGCAUAUAGCAAACUCUUCAUACUUAAGGUGGACUAGGGAUGCAUUUUUCACCUACAUUUAGUAUUCGAGAAAUCAUUUACUGUUUCCUUAGUCAUCCUUAUGUAGUAUGUAAUGUGUUUUCUGCAUAAUGCAGACAAUUACAGCAGUUUCAGGAAAAUCAAAGAGCAAAAAUAUUGGAUUUCUAAAUGCAAUUGGCAUGAAUGCUGUUUUCUGUGAACCAAGAGAUUGUAUGGAUGUUCAAGUGACUGAAAUCAACGAUCCAACUGUAAAAGAUAUCUGUAAUAUCAACCUUACCACUUUUGGUAAGUUUGUUAAUCUGAACAUCUGAUUUGUAGAGUGGCCACUUAAUUUUUGCUUAUUUCAUCAAUUUUCUAUUGAAAACAUCUCUCUUGGCAUUGUUGUCAUAGCUUUUCAACAUAACAAAGAUAAUAGAGCAGGGGGUUUUCAUCUUAGAGAGGAAAACAUAAGUUCAUAACUCUAUGUUUGGAUUUUUUCCUUCUGUAGUUUUCAUCCUUUUGCUUGAUUAAAUCAUCGAUGUUCCUAAUUACGAGUUUGGUGAUGGCAGUGCCUGCAUCAAAUAUUGGCAACUGGAUGGGGCCAGCGAUCAAAAUGUCACUUCCAAGUUUUAGGUAAGUUUCUCCCUUGGUUUCUGUCUUGUGCAUACUCCCUAUGCUAUUAGAGUUCAUUUUUUCCCUUAUGUAUUUCCUUGUGCUGUGAAAUUGCAGCGGCCGUACAGAAUAUUAUCCCAACCUUCUCAAGUACUCUUGCCAGAUUGAGUGCAGGUUUCAUUUACCUUUUUAUGUUCAUCAAGCUUCAUUAAUGUUAAACUCUUUUCCACCAAACUCGAGUGACAACUUGGUAUUGGGAAAAUGUGUUAUCUUUCCUUGGUUUACAUGGAUUUCCAUCUGAUUAAAUUCUGUAGGGUGCGAGCAGUGCAUCCAGCAAAGGUAUCAGGACCACCUUCGAUGCCAAAGAGCGAGGCAGAACAAUCUUCAGAAAUCCAUCACGCGACAGAAGAAUUCAUGGAUAAUAGCAAGAACCUCUGUGUAGCUGUGAUGUCAUCAAAGCCUAUAUUGGCAUUAAAGUUCAGUUGUAUGAAAAUGCAGGUUGAAGCUCCAGUUGUAGUUCCCAACAGCUUUAACAACUCUCUAGCAACCUCUUGAUUGUGCUAUCUGUUAUAAUAUUCCAAAUAAUUUCUUCUGCCUUGCUGUGAUUUCAAAAGUAAGAAUUUAGUCUCAGCUUCUUGCAACUUUGAGUAGGACAUCAACUUGUUGUCAAUAGAACAUCUCGCAUCUAAGCUUCACGCAUUCACUUGGAUUUAUCGAACAGACCAUUGAAACAGAUCAAUUAUUUGAAACUAUUUUACAAAUAUGGAAACUUGAGAUUUGCCAAAAGCACUUCCUUUCUUUUCUUUUCUUUUUUCUUCAAGUGUUUACAAAAAAUUUCUACUUUCCAUAGCAUGGAUAACCCCCCGUGUAACAUGUUACAAAUAACAAACAAACGCACUUUUCAUGCUCAGAUGAUUGAACCUUACAAUCAAAUUUCUUACAAUCUCAAUCUGGACCCAGUCUAACUGAUCAGUAGAUCAGAAUACUUCGGGCAGAGGUCGGCCCUCCAAAAAUGACUUGAACAAUACAAGAGAUCUCUCCGGCUGUGAGAACGGCGCUUCAUGUGAUGCUCCUCUAAUGGUGGCAAAGGAAAGUAUAUUACCAUAAGCUUGAGUCCACCCACCAACCUGCAGGUAAGGAAAAAAUAGAGCAUCAUUUAGCACUUUUUAAGUUCCUAACAGAAGCACCAGAAAGUCAUCAAAUUUUACUAAUCUCAAAUAAGAGUCACCUGCUGCCCCUCAAACCAGACUCUGUAAGGCACGGUGGUAUUUAGUCCUAAUUGCUCUGCAAGUCUAUGAACUAAUGUUCUACUUCCUGUCAAUGGGAUAACAGAAUCUUGGUCUCCACUGAAAGUUUACAAGAAAGUAAGUCAACUGCAACGACCUUUAGAAAAUAGAGAAUGUUUUUAUGUUGGUCUGAAAUACAUAAAAUACUUAUAAAGGUAAGAGACAUCUACCUGUAAACCAAGACCGGUAUUCCUGCUUUGAUGAGUUUGCCCACGAUUGUGGUUGUUGGUAUCUCCACAUCCAACAGCUGAUAAUCCAGUAUGCUGUCAUGAACACAGAAGAUGAUUUAAGCAAAAUACUACUUCGAGAUGCAGUCAAAAUUUAUAUCUGGUGAAGAAAGUUACUUGCUGCAAACUGCCCAUUGACGAACGCCAACAAGUCGAGCGUGCAGUGCCUUCUGCACGUCUGGCCUGUUCAGAUAAUUAACUAUUUCAUCCUCCACGCAUACAUCUAUUGCCUCAGUAACUUGCUGCUAGAAUGAACAAGUUAAAACAAUUAGAAGAUGGAUACGAACUUGUCGAAAAUGAAUCAAAAUUUCAGGUUGCAAAAGAUGGUUUUCACCUGAGGAAGGAGGACUUUGGAUUGGGAGAACACAGAUGAUAUACAAACAUCAAGAGUGACAUCAUACUUGUCAACAAAUUUACUGGUUUCUCUGCUCACUUGGCUCAUCACCCUUGAACAAAUAGGUGAAACCGAGCCUCUGUAAUAUUCACUCACAUAACGUGAGUAGUUACAAACAGAAGUGAACAUUUUGUAUGUUGAAUCUGAUAUCAAUCCAUGAGACCAAAAGAACUCAGCUCUUGAGUUGAAGUCAGUGGUAUAUUCUAGGACUGGGUUACCCAACUGCAAAGAGAACAAAUAUUUUAGACCACAAUAGAGGGGGAGAAAGCACAAGAAAUCCAAAGGUGGUAAUUUUGAGAUUUUAUCACUCACCGCAAUUCCUUUCAAAUUAAAUUGAUACUCCUUAUAUUGGAGCAUGAGUUCUGCAAGCUGUGGAACAUAGUGACCUGGAUAUAAAUAGGGAAAAUAAAAUCAAUAAUUCCAUCUCUUAUUAUAUCCUUGAUUAAGAAGUAAGCAAUUGUCAGGAACAAGAUGAUACCAGCAUAGCUUUCUCCUGUAAUAAACAAGCUUCUAUUUUUAUAUUGUGGGAAUUUUUCUAACCAAUUUUGCAAGAACAGCAGAUUGUCCCUGGCUGUAGAUAACAAGGACAAAGUUCAGAAAUCAUAGAUGGCCUGUAAAGGUGAACUUUUGUCAACUCAGAAGGAAAAAUACAAACCAUCAACAGUACGCAUCACACAUGGCAUAUCGGUAAAGUGAGUGAACUAAGAAAAAUUAUAGUGCAAGGUCAUCAUGCAAUAUUAUUUUGAAUCUUUGGCAAAAAGAAAUGAAAAGAUUUCAAAUGGAACUUUGGAGAAGAAAAAAAAGAAUAUUUUCUUCUCUUUCUUUUUGGGAAAAAGAACAAAGGAAAAUGAUAGGAAGACAAGUUGACUUGAAAUUCAGUAAAACAAAUUGUGUUUCUUCUGCUGUUUUUAAACUAUUUGCGAAAGGGUUUUUCUUUCUUAUCUAGCAAGACCUCUACUUGCUAAUAAAAUUAGAAAUUUCAAAUAUAGUGAAUGUAAAUAAAAUUUCAAUUAACAGAAUAAUCAAAUUGGUGAGGCGUGCCUGUGAUGUGGUCAUUUACAGCCUCAUAAGAAGAAGUAUCCGUUGAAUAAGAGAACCCCACUCCAAUUGGCGUCUCCAAGUAAAGCAUGUUUGCUUCUGCAAAUCAAUGAGCAUGUUAAACAAUCAGCAGCAUUGGAUUGUUUUGAAACUACCCAAUAAUGAAUUGAAGAAAAUCAAAAGGAGCAUUCUUUUACCUCUGUUCCAGCUAUGUUCAUUUCUAACCAAUACCUCUCCGCUAGGCCUAAAUGGUCCAUUCUCAGAAAACGCUCCAACUCCAAGAGAAGAGCAACCAGGACCUGAAAUCACAAACCAUCAAGGCCCAGAAAGAUUUCAUUUUUUUCAAAACCCAGUUUAAAAAAUAUAUUAAAAAGAGAGAAAAUUGAGUUUUGAGUAAGAAGUAGGGACCUCCAUUGAGCCAGAGGACAAGAGGCUUGGAAGCUGGAUCUAUUUCUGCUUCAGCAAAGUAAUAGAACAGAGCUCUCUGUUUCUUCUCAUCAACGGUCACAUAACCCGAAUACUGCUGGAACCCGACUUGGGGUUGACCCGGCAACAGAGCAAUUCUAUCAAGCUCAGAAAGAGAAGCUCGUGCUUUCAUGGAAGAAGAAGUUAUGUGGAGCAAAACCAGAGCCACUACAAUGGUCUUCCAUGGUAGAGAAAGAGAAAUCAUGGGUUCAGUAGAAAGAAAGAGCAAAGAGCCUAGAGCCUAGAGAGAAAGAAAGAUUCAGCUCAGCUGAACUGCUGCCCAGAGUGGGGGCACUAUAUAAAGAUAAAAGAGGGGAGAUCUUGUUUUUUGUAAUUAUUAUUAUUUGAAACUUUUGUCCCAUCAGAGACUUUGGACCUGAAAGAGAUGUAUGCGAUCAUGUGAGAGACUCAUGCUGGCCUUUCUCCUUGCUGUGAACUGGUCACGCUCUCCCUCUCUCUCUCUCUCUCUCUCUGCCCUUGCCUUUGGGGUAUGACUUGGCUGAGUCAGCAAAUGGGGUGUUACUGUUGCUGAAAAUGAAAAGAGAGAAUGUGCUUUUUAAGACACUUUAUUAAUUCACAGAUUGUUCAGAAGUACUGUAUUUGUCUGUUUUGUGUUUGGCCAAUAUGUACUCCAAAAUCUACAACAGACUCUGCAAUUGGAUUCACUGCACUAAAAACUCUGUUCCAUUCAGAUUUUUUUUUUAUAUCUAAAAAAUAUUUAAUUAUUCUGUUCCAUACUCCAUAGAAACGAAAAUAAGCUCUAGGGGGAUGACUUUUUAUUCUCCUCACUAUAUAGCUGAAUGUGACAUCCAACUAGUGUAAUAAUGUCUCCAAAGAAUUUUCCUCCUAGCCAACAACAUUAUUUAUUGGCAAUCAAUUGUAGCUCAAGUGAUUCGAUUUUUCCUUUUCUCGAUACCGCUUGUAUACAUAAAAAAAGUAACAAACUUUUUUAUUUCUUGCAACUUUUACACGAAAAGAAAUAUAAUGUGUAAAUUUGGAAGCAUGACUUGGGUGGUGGUCAAUGCAUGCCAUGCCAGUAGCAAAGACAUGGUUUUUGAAAAGAAAAACUUGUAAAAACCCGUGAUCUGGGUUGAACUUUAAGAUAACAUUUUGCAUCCAAAAUUCCAAACUCUAAUUGCGGUUUAUUGGCUAAUAAUCCAAAUAUAGUAAACUAUUUUAUUAAAUUAUUACUCGUGUGCCGCAGCACUCGGCCGCAGCAGGCUGCUCACUGGGCACCUGUUUUCCAUGGUUUUGUUUAUGAAACUGCGAAAUACGACAAAAACAUAUUCCGUUAUUCCAUGUCUUGUUUUCUUCUCAUUUCUCAGCUAGCUGAGGUAAGGUCUCAAUCUUGCUCAGGACAACACACAAUUACAUUCUAAUCCGCAUGCAAAUUUUUGUUUGUGUUAUCAGCAAACAAAAUAUACUUGCUCGUGGCAUCUCUGCCAUUUCGGGUCACUUUUUUUUUUUUUUUUUCCCAAAGAAUGAAAAGUGCCUGUGCAAACUUUAGUUGGGAAAUGUGCCUAAAAUGGAAGUGCAGCAAUGAGCAUAAGGCAUUGUGUGAUAUUUUUCUGUGAGUCUUGAAAUGGAAGCAUGGUUUCACUUUUCUAUUCAGCUUUAUUUUUUUCUUAUAUCAAUUGUUUUCCUUGAGGAAUUGAUGGGUCUCUUUUCAUUAUAUUUUACUUUGUUUAUAUGGGGAAAAGCUGAUUAGCUUUUGAAUUGGUAAUAUCUCUUCUUUUUUUCUUGUCUGUUUUUUCAUAUUGGAUUAGAUUAGACACGCAUGUUAGAACCCAUACAUGUUGGUUUUUUUUUUUUUUUUGGGGGUAAGUAUCAUGAGGUGUUCAGGCCAGUUUGCUCGCACCUCGAUUAAUUCUCACUCGAGGAACUGAGCCUGCUGCUGCCACCAGGUGUUGCAAUUGCUGGGACUUGAACUGGAGAGCAAAUCCAACCGAAUUCUAGAGCCUUACCCAAAUGGCGGACAAACCACUGGGCCACUAUUGGUGGUUUGGUUUCAUUUUUUAUUUGGUUUGUGUGUGUGGAAAUGACAAUGGAUUGAGGUUUGAGCCUCUUUUCCUCUAGUAUGAAAGUUUCAGUUUUGAUUCAUUCUAAUACUUACAAAGUUACUUUACAAUAAGUCUAGAAGUGGUUUGUUUCAGCAAAAAUAUGUAUAGAAAGUCAGAAUUCCAUGAAAAACUUUUAACUUGACAAAAUGGAAGAAUUAUUGACACAAGUGAAAACAAGAAAAAAGACAUCGAGACUUUGAAACUCUUUUCUCUCUGUGUGUUUGUGUGGUGAUGAUGGGGUCAAGAGGGUAAUGAUUUUCACUCGAGCAUGUUGGAGAAAACAUUUCAUUUCGUACCUGCCAAAACAUGCUACAUGAUUUUGCUUUUUAUUUUUUAUUUUUUAACCAAGCUAGGCCACCCAUACCAUUUUGUUUAGACAAAAGGCAAAACCUGUCGAAAGGUCCUGCCUUGCCGCCCACACCAUGCCAUGCCUACAAUUUUUUUCACCUUGGAAACCUCCUCCUCCCACCACGUUGCCUUUUUCUUUUUUGCAGUCCCAUCUCAACUAACUUCCAUAGCAACUUUCACAACUGGAAAGAAGAAAAAAAAAGUGUUUUUUAGAAGAGAAGAGAGUUCCAACUCCAAGUCUUCCUCCUAAGUUCCUAAUUCAAAGAAUAAUGCAAGCCAAUAUAAUGAUUUCAAUGUAAUAAUUAUGGGGAAACCCAUGAUAUAGAAACGUCCAAUUGUAGGGUAAUCUUGUUUGAAUUUCAAGGUGAGUUUGCCAAAUGUGUAAUACUUUAAUAUAGUGGAUGAAGAUUCUAAAUAAAUGUAAAACAGGUAGGUGUGUAUAGAUAGGGGUCCCCCCAUGUCACAAAAUAGAAAGGGAAAAACUGAUAGAUAAGGGUAUUGGGUCAAAAUCACCUUUAGAAUUCUGGUGUAUUUUCUCUUCUUUCUUUACUUUCCUAUGCGUACCUUUUCACCAAAAGAAUCCCCCUUUUUUUUUCAGCUGCUGGGGGUGUGCACCAAGAAGGCCAUGGCCAUGGGCCACUAUUAUAUUCACAUGCCCCAUCCCUCCUCUUUAAGUUUUAGACAUCUCUCCUUGUUUGGUUUCUUGUUUGCUCAGUUGCCCAUGCUCUUGUGGUAAGUUUUAUGUUUGGCCCUACAAUAUUUUAGUUACAGUCCUUCAACAAAACCUGCUGCGCGUGCUAAGUGCCAUGGACCGCAUGUGAGAGAGAGAGAGAGAGAUUGUGGGGUUGGGAUUCUAAAGCCUCCCAACGGCCAUUUUACAAUGUUCCAUCUAUGAGAUGACAAAACCAAAUUUAUUUGUUAUUCUUUCCUAGAACCAGUAAUUAAAGUGAAUGGUUAGGUAACGUUAACUUAGAGCUAGAAGAUAACUAAGUAGCUCAAUGAAGAGCGUUACCAUCAUUGGUCGAUUUGUGCAUGUAGGUGAAUUCUGAUUGUCGAUGCGUUGGUAGGGGCCUUAUUCUUGGACAAUAUUUGCCCUCACGUCAAAACAAUUUCACAGGCCAUUACGUCCAGUUCAGUUAUCAUAUGUAUAAUUUCAAUGCAGAACGUAAUUUUUGAACAUAAAUUGUGAGAAUAUUGCAAUGGCAAUAUUCAACUGCCUCCAUGUUAAGUCAGACUCUCAGAGAGUACGUGGGGAAAAAGAUGUCAAUGGUCAACUUUCCAGACUCCUUGUCUCAAACCAGAAAGAGCCGUUAAAGAUAGUGGACUUUACGAUAUGGGCCAUUCUUAUAUAGUGCUUCAAAAACAGAGAGUGCAACCUAAAUGAUCAAGUUUCAAACAAAUAUACACAGAAGCUUCAAUCCGAAGAUAUCAGUUGAUAUUGUUUGAUUUAUCAAAUGUUGGAAAUGAUAAUCUUGGUGGUAAUCUCUUUUUGGAGAACUCUAUGCUGCGAGGUUGCCAAUGAUCAUAGCAGAUAUUAGAUACAAUUUUAGAUUAGCUCCAAUGAUAUCAGAAUUCAAAUCAGAAGGAAAAAUAAAAGGCAUAUUUGAGAUUCGAUUUUGUACAAGUGUAAUGAACACUGACAGCAACAGAGUCCCUUUGAAAGCACAAAGUUUAAAAAAUAAAAUAAAAAAG
rnacentral:lncRNA from 1 species